GACGAGGUGGCCGAGCGGUUAAGGCGUUGGACUGCUAAUCCAAUGGGCUCUGCCCGCGUGAGUUCGAAUCUCAUCCUCGUCG
rnacentral:tRNA from 1 species